UACGUAGGGUGCGAGCGUUAAUCGGAAUUACUGGGCGUAAAGUGUGCGCAGGUGGCCGCGCAAGUCGAGUGUGAAAAUCCCCCGAGCUUAACUUGGGAAUUGCGCUCGAAACUACGUGGCUAGAGUGUGGCAGAGGGAGGUGGAAUUCCACGUGUAGCGGUGAAAUGCGUAGAGAUGUGGAGGAACACCAAUGGCGAAGGCAGCCUCCUGGGCCAACACUGACACUCAUGCACGAAAGCGUGGGGAGCAAACAGG
rnacentral:rRNA from 1 species